rnacentral:rRNA from 1 species
UACGGAGGGUGCAAACGUUGCUCGGAAUCAUUGGGCGUAAAGCGCACGUAGGCGGCCUGUUAAGUCGGGUGUGAAAUCCCUGGGCUCAACCCAGGAAGUGCACUCGAAACUGGCGGGCUUGAGUACUGAAGAGGGUCGCGGAAUUCCCGGUGUAGAGGUGAAAUUCGUAGAUAUCGGGAGGAACACCAGUGGCGAAGGCGGCGACCUGGGCAGAUACUGACGCUGAGGUGCGAAAGCGUGGGGAGCAAACAGG